CCUACGGGGCGCAGCAGUGGGGAAUAUUGGACAAUGGGCGAAAGCCUGAUCCAGCCAUGCCGCGUGUGUGAAGAAGGCCUUCGGGUUGUAAAGCACUUUCAGUGGGGAAGAAAGCCUUGGGGCUAAUACCCUCGAGGAAGGACAUCACCCACAGAAGAAGCACCGGCUAACUCCGUGCCAGCAGCCGCGGUAAUACGGAGGGUGCGAGCGUUAAUCGGAAUUACUGGGCGUAAAGCGCGCGUAGGCGGUCUGAUAAGCCGGUUGUGAAAGCCCCGGGCUCAACCUGGGAACGGCAUCCGGAACUGUCAGGCUAGAGUGCAGGAGAGGAAGGUAGAAUUCCCGGUGUAGCGGUGAAAUGCGUAGAGAUCGGGAGGAAUACCAGUGGCGAAGGCGGCCUUCUGGACUGACACUGACGCUGAGGUGCGAAAGCGUGGGUAGCAAACAGGAUUAGAUACCCGUGUAGUC
rnacentral:rRNA from 1 species